AGAGUUUGAUCCUGGCUCAGAUUGUACGCUGGCGGCAUGCCUUACACAUGCAAGUCGAACGGCAGCGCGGGAGCAAUCCUGGCGGCGAGUGGCGAACGGGUGAGUAAUAUAUCGGAACGUGCCUUAGAGUGGGGGAUAACUAGUCGAAAGACUAGCUAAUACCGCAUACGACCUACGGGUGAAAGUGGGGGAUCGCAAGACCUCAUGCUCUUAGAGCGGCCGAUAUCUGAUUAGCUAGUUGGUGGGGUAAAAGCCUACCAAGGCGACGAUCAGUAGCUGGUCUGAGAGGACGACCAGCCACACUGGGACUGAGACACGGCCCAGACUCCUACGGGAGGCAGCAGUGGGGAAUUUUGGACAAUGGGGGCAACCCUGAUCCAGCAAUGCCGCGUGUGUGAAGAAGGCCUUCGGGUUGUAAAGCACUUUUGUUCGGAAAGAAAUCGCUCUGGCUAAUAUCCGGAGUGGAUGACGGUACCGAAGA
rnacentral:rRNA from 1 species